rnacentral:rRNA from 1 species
GACGAACGCUGGCGGCGUGCUUAAUACAUGCAAGUCGAACGGAAAGGCCCUGCUUUUGUGGGGUGCUCGAGUGGCGAACGGGUGAGUAACACGUGAGUAACCUGCCCUUGACUUUGGGAUAACUUCAGGAAACUGGGGCUAAUACCGGAUAGGAGCUCCUGCUGCAUGGUGGGGGUUGGAAAGUUUCGGCGGUUGGGGAUGGACUCGCGGCUUAUCAGCUUGUUGGUGGGGUAGUGGCUUACCAAGGCUUUGACGGGUAGCCGGCCUGAGAGGGUGACCGGCCACAUUGGGACUGAGGUACGGCCCAGACUCCUACGGGAGGCAGCAGUGGGGAAUAUUGCACAAUGGGCGGAAGCCUGAUGCAGCAACGCCGCGUGCGGGAUGACGGCCUUCGGGUUGUAAACCGCUUUCGCCUGUGACGAAGCGUGAGUGACGGUAAUGGGUAAAGAAGCACCGGCUAACUACGUGCCAGCAGCCGCGGUGAUACGUAGGGUGCGAGCGUUGUCCGGAUUUAUUGGGCGUAAAGGGCUCGUAGGUGGUUGAUCGCGUCGGAAGUGUAAUCUUGGGGCUUAACCCUGAGCGUGCUUUCGAUACGGGUUGACUUGAGGAAGGUAGGGGAGAAUGGAAUUCCUGGUGGAGCGGUGGAAUGCGCAGAUAUCAGGAGGAACACCAGUGGCGAAGGCGGUUCUCUGGGCCUUUCCUGACGCUGAGGAGCGAAAGCGUGGGGAGCGAACAGGCUUAGAUACCCUGGUAGUCCACGCUGUAAACGGUGGGUACUAGGUGUGGGGUCCAUUCCACGGGUUCCGUGCCGUAGCUAACGCUUUAAGUACCCCGCCUGGGGAGUACGGCCGCAAGGCUAAAACUCAAAGGAAUUGACGGGGCCCCGCACAAGCGGCGGAGCAUGCGGAUUAAUUCGAUGCAACGCGUAGAACCUUACCUGGGUUUGACAUGGAUCGGGAGUGCUCAGAGAUGGGUGUGCCUCUUUUGGGGUCGGUUCACAGGUGGUGCAUGGCUGUCGUCAGCUCGUGUCGUGAGAUGUUGGGUUAAGUCCCGCAACGAGCGCAACCCUUGUUCACUGUUGCCAGCACGUUAUGGUGGGGACUCAGUGGAGACCGCCGGGGUCAACUCGGAGGAAGGUGGGGAUGACGUCAAGUCAUCAUGCCCCUUAUGUCCAGGGCUUCACGCAUGCUACAAUGGCUGGUACAGAGAGUGGCGAGCCUGUGAGGGUGAGCGAAUCUCGGAAAGCCGGUCUCAGUUCGGAUUGGGGUCUGCAACUCGACCUCAUGAAGUCGGAGUCGCUAGUAAUCGCAGAUCAGCAACGCUGCGGUGAAUACGUUCCCGGG